GUUCAAUCCUACUCACUAUAACACCUGUCUUUCUCCCUCAAGGAGUCAACUUGGAGUUAUAAAACUUCAGUGACAGCAGUAAAAGAAGAAGGAUGAGAGAUAAGAUUUGAUUAAGAAAGAAGAAUCAAUGAGCAAUAAGAAGGCUAUUUUAUAUAUUAGAACUUCUAGUUAUGAAAGAACUCACAGAAGGAAAGAUCCCAGAGGGUAUGACAAGAAAAUCAUGAAAAAGUUACUAGCUAAUCAUCAUAGACAAGAGUUGCAAAAUCAAUAGAAGGCUCUUGUCUCUGUAUUGGAGAAUAGGGCAACAGUUACUAUAGAGCAACAAGAUGAAUAACAGAAUAAAAUAUAAAUUUAAAAUAA